rnacentral:rRNA from 1 species
UACGAAGGGGGCUAGCGUUGCUCGGAAUCACUGGGCGUAAAGCGCACGUAGGCGGAUCUUUAAGUCAGGGGUGAAAUCCUGGAGCUCAACUCCAGAACUGCCUUUGAUACUGGGGAUCUCGAGUCCGGAAGAGGUGAGUGGAACUCCGAGUGUAGAGGUGAAAUUCGUAGAUAUUCGGAAGAACACCAGUGGCGAAGGCGGCUCACUGGCCCGAUACUGACGCUGAGGCACGAAAGCGUGGGGAGCAAACAGG